UACGUAGGGGGCAAGCGUUAUUCGGAAUUAUUGGGCGUAAAGGGCGCGUAGGCGGCUUUGCAAGUGACGGGUGAAAGCCCUCGGCUUAACCGAGGAACUGCCUGUCAGACUGUGAGGCUUGAGACCGGGAGAGGUGAGUGGAAUUCCCAGUGUAGCGGUGAAAUGCGUAGAUAUUGGGAGGAACACCAGUGGCGAAGGCGGCUCACUGGACCGGAACUGACGCUGAGGCGCGAAAGCGUGGGGAGCAAACAGG
rnacentral:rRNA from 1 species